GGAAGAGGAUGAAGGAGUGUGCGAGAAAACACAUCGACUAACAAUCAUCGUAAAAGUGACAGCGAGGAAAAUAUGGAAGUGAAAAGGGAAGUUUUUAUUUCAGAGUGAAAAUGGGAGGGUGGGGGAGAAUGAUCACGGAAGAGUUAAGCAAAUGGGGUUACAAAGCCAGUUGAUGGUGAAAGAAAGAAAAGAGGAUAAAGAUGGAAAACGAUCGAUUAUGGAGAAGAGGCCGAUUCACUUUCCAAUGUUCUUUUACGUUUGUUUGCAUUAUAAUACUGCCUCUCAGUGGCCAAGGCGGGGAUACCAGCAUCAUAAUACAUCUAGAAAAGUCCUUAUUAAAAGGACAAAGGCAACAUUUGACCUUUGUUUGUUGACCUUUCCGUCCAUUUAAGAUAGAAAAUUGUUUUUAAUAACAGGAACGAUUCAACCCGUACCAUUGUUUACUAAAUGAGGACGCACAGACUACAAGACCCACAAUGCACUACGCCACUUUUCUCUGACGUCAUCGCACCGGGUGGUCAACUGCGCGGCGUGUGCGCGCUUUUGGAGCAGCAAGAGUGCAACAUUGUUCCAGACGAUCACCGACAGAGGGCUGUAUAGCCUCAAGGGAACUCUGUAGGACGGAAUGUAUGCACAGGCAGUGGAAGAAGAGAGUUAGCAUGAGACUACCAGAGUGAUUAAAUAAACAACUAGCUGAAGCUAGUAUAAAGUUCAACUGAAUCCUAAAGCUAAUUUGAUCAGUGAGAAAGAUUUAAAUGCACUGACUGAGAAGCCUAAAAAAAUCCACAGAAAGAGUCACACCCCUGAAGGCUUAUAAUAAUCAGCCAAUACAGACAAAAGGUGGAUGCAGACUUAAAAUAAUGGCAAAAGGCAAACAGCAUAACCUGUUAUUCACCAUUGUGCCAAAUGGACACGAGUCUCUUUUAGGAGACAAAGCCUCUGAGGAUCUAGGUCUAGUAAAGAGGAUCUAUCAGAUUAAUACUGACAACAUUAAAGUAGUCAUGCAAGACAAAGGACAGGAACAAAAACAGUGUGAGGGAAGUGCAAACAUAGUGGAGAAGUUUUCUUCUGUCUUCAAAGGACAUGGGACUUUACCUUACACUUACAAAAUACAACUCAAAGAUGAUGCCAAGCCUGUUGUGCACGCCCCAAGGAGAGUGCCAGCACCACUCAGA